GGCCUAAUACAUGCAAGUCGAACGAGUUCUGAUUAUUGAAAGGUGCUUGCAUCUUGAUUUAAUUUUGAACGAGUGGCGGACGGGUGAGUAACACGUGGGUAACCUGCCCUUAAGUGGGGGAUAACAUUUGGAAACAGAUGCUAAUACCGCAUAAAUCCAAGAACCGCAUGGUUCUUGGCUGAAAGAUGGCGUAAGCUAUCGCUUUUGGAUGGACCCGCGGCGUAUUAGCUAGUUGGUGAGGUAACGGCUCACCAAGGCAAUGAUACGUAGCCGAACUGAGAGGUUGAUCGGCCACAUUGGGACUGAGACACGGCCCAAACUCCUACGGGAGGCAGCAGUAGGGAAUCUUCCACAAUGGACGCAAGUCUGAUGGAGCAACGCCGCGUGAGUGAAGAAGGCUUUCGGGUCGUAAAACUCUGUUGUUGGAGAAGAAUGGUCGGCAGAGUAACUGUUGUCGGCGUGACGGUAUCCAACCAGAAAGCCACGGCUAACUACGUGCCAGCAGCCGCGGUAAUACGUAGGUGGCAAGCGUUAUCCGGAUUUAUUGGGCGUAAAGCGAGCGCAGGCGGUUUUUUAAGUCUGAUGUGAAAGCCCUCGGCUUAACCGAGGAAGUGCAUCGGAAACUGGGAAACUUGAGUGCAGAAGAGGACAGUGGAACUCCAUGUGUAGCGGUGAAAUGCGUAGAUAUAUGGAAGAACACCAGUGGCGAAGGCGGCUGUCUGGUCUGUAACUGACGCUGAGGCUCGAAAGCAUGGGUAGCGAACAGGAUUAGAUACCCUGGUAGUCCAUGCCGUAAACGAUGAAUGCUAGGUGUUGGAGGGUUUCCGCCCUUCAGUGCCGCAGCUAACGCAUUAAGCAUUCCGCCUGGGGAGUACGACCGCAAGGUUGAAACUCAAAGGAAUUGACGGGGGCCCGCACAAGCGGUGGAGCAUGUGGUUUAAUUCGAAGCAACGCGAAGAACCUUACCAGGUCUUGACAUCUUUUGAUCACCUGAGAGAUCAGGUUUCCCCUUCGGGGGCAAAAUGACAGGUGGUGCAUGGUUGUCGUCAGCUCGUGUCGUGAGAUGUUGGGUUAAGUCCCGCAACGAGCGCAACCCUUAUGACUAGUUGCCAGCAUUUAGUUGGGCACUCUAGUAAGACUGCCGGUGACAAACCGGAGGAAGGUGGGGAUGACGUCAAAUCAUCAUGCCCCUUAUGACCUGGGCUACACACGUGCUACAAUGGAUGGUACAACGAGUUGCGAGACCGCGAGGUCAAGCUAAUCUCUUAAAGCCAUUCUCAGUUCGGACUGUAGGCUGCAACUCGCCUACACGAAGUCGGAAUCGCUAGUAAUCGCGGAUCAGCACGCCGCGGUGAAUACGUUCCCGGGCCUUGUACACACCGCCCGUCACACCAUGAGAGUUUGUAACACCCGAAGCCGGUGGCGUAACCCUUUUAGGGAGCGAGCCGUCUAA
rnacentral:rRNA from 1 species